AAGCCGCACGAUUACGCACCCCUGUCGCGCAGCCUGCGGUCUAAUCAGUUUGUGGUCGUGAGAAGAAAGACUAACAUCUCAGCAACUAACUUCGAUGUACUCAAACACCGAAAUAGCAGAUAUACCGAUGAAUGAAGCCGACCACGUCGCCGCCGAGCCCGUCGCCGCCGGCCUCGUUGCCGCCGACUAUC